CUUCAUCUGUAGCAUAUUCCCCUGUCUCAUCAUCAUCUGCAUCGUACUGUGCAUAAUGCUGCUCCAGGAGCUCUCUCUGGCGGCGUUCUUGUUCCAGAGUUUGGCUAAUCAGCUGCGCAACCUCGCUCACUUGGCCUGGUUUUUCUCGGCCAAUUACAAACCUGACCUUCCCUUUGGUGUUUCUAAGAACAGUUGCAGCAAAAUUUUGUGUAACGCCAACCAGACUGAUGCCAUCAACUUCCACAAUUUGGUCAUUCACUUGGAUCCUGCCAUCUCUUUCCGCUGCCCCACCUUCUGUUACUGUUUUGACAAAUAUUCCCAGUUUUUCAAGGCCUGCAUCUGCUCCAACUCCCAUUCCAAUAAUGCUAAUGCCAAGUCCAUCUUCAUCUUUUUCUAGUUCAACUGGGAAAAGCUCCAGCUUUUCCACACGCUUCUCGAGUUCAUAUUCAGCUGAUGCAGCCACUGGGUCAACUUCAUCAUUUCUCCUGUCAUAGUCUUCAUUGGAGUAUGUAUUGAAAACCUUAAUUGGAGCACGGCUAAACUGUAUUUUUCUGUUGGCUGGGAUCUCAUCUUCAUCUGGCAAUCCAUUAAUCUCCGAGUAUUCCAUAUCAGGUUCGUAACAGUUAUUCUCAUCACUGUCAUCCUGGUCAUCCUGUUCUGUCCCUGUCUCUCCCCAGUCGGAGUUAUACCUCGAUCGUACCCUAUACACGUUGUAGUCAGAGUGCAUGUACACGUGGGAACUCUGGAAAUUAUUCCCAUCCUCAUGUACUUC
rnacentral:lncRNA from 1 species